CCUACGGGUGGCAGCAGUGGGGAAUAUUGGACAAUGGGGGAAACCCUGAUCCAGCGACGCCGCGUGAGUGAAGAAGUACUUCGGUAUGUAAAGCUCUUUUAGCAGGGAAGAAAGAAAUGACGGUACCUGACUAAGAAGCCUCGGCUAACUACGUGCCAGCAGCCGCGGGAAUCCGUCGGGGGCGAGCGUUAUCCGGAUGUACGGGGUGUAAAGGGAGCGUAGGUGGCGAUGCAAGUCAGAAGUGAAAGGCGGGGGCUCAACCCUUGAACUGCAUUGGAAACUGUAUGGCUUGAGUGCAGGAGAGGUAAGUGGAAUUCGUGGUGUAGCGGUGAAAUGCGUAGAUAUUAGGAAGAACACCAGUGGCGAAGGCAGCUUACUGGACUGUAACUGACACUGAGGCUCGAAAGCGUGGGGAGCAAACAGGAUUAGAUACCCUAGUAGUC
rnacentral:rRNA from 1 species